rnacentral:rRNA from 1 species
UACGGGGGGUGCAAGCGUUGUUCGGAAUUAUUGGGCGUAAAGCGCGUGUAGGCGGUUUGUUAAGUCUGUUGUGAAAGCCCUGGGCUCAACCCAGGAAGUGCACUGGAUACUGGCAGACUUGAAUACGGGAGAGGGUAGUGGAAUUCCUGGUGUAGGAGUGAAAUCCGUAGAUAUCUGGAGGAACACCGGUGGCGAAGGCGGCAUCCUGGACCAAUUCUGACGCUGAGGAGCGAAAGCCAGGGGAGCAAACGGG